AUCUAAUUGCCAUCUUAUGAUACUUCGAUUGUGGGUUUCGAAGAGCAGUAGUUCGACGAAGUUGGGUCUGAUGUUGUGAGUGGAGAUUCAUGAGUUAUUGAGGUUGGGCGAUGUGAAUUUUGGGCCUUGAUUGUCGCUUGUGUCGAUUUUCUGAUUCAUGAGUUGGGUCAGGAGGGUUGGAGUUUUAGUGGAAUUACAGCUUAGGACAUGUGAGAAUCCAGGUGGUUCUGGGUUUGGUUCUGUAUUCAGCUUAGCUUUUUGUGGCUGUAGUGGAUCUGUCGUUGAGUCCAACUCAAUUUCUCUUCAUGCUGAUUUCACUCAACACUGCCUGAAGUUGUAGAACUUUUGAUUGCCCUUGUGGUUAUGAAGUGAUGAUCGCUGCAGCUCUGGUUCUUUCGCUUAAUCCUAGUACAAUAGGUUGUUGCCAAUUUUGGGUUUUAGACCUCUCUUCCUCUUUCUUGUAGUUAAUGUUUUGAUCACGUGGUUCUUUUAGCUUUCUCAUAGGUAUGAAUAUUCUUGUUUUCCAUUUCAUGUGAGGACGUUAAUCUAUCACUGUUUGAAUAUCGCUUUGUGAAUAGUCGCUUUGAAGAGGGGAGUUAGUCAGCGUUAGCAUCAGAAAUCUUAGCGCACUUCUUGUUCACAGGAGCGUUACCAAAUCAACAUGCGGGAAGAAUCACGUGCCACGAGUUGGAGGGAAUAAGAAUAGUUUCAAGACUGACGAAAUUACUGAGAAUGAUUAGACAUAACCCCAAGGGUUUCUGAAUUAUUCUGUGGCGUACCGGUGGACAGUCAAACGUAUCUUAUGUUGUUGUGCACGAAGCGGUCUAAGAUGUAUAUCAUGUCUUAUCAGUAGGUAGGAAUCGGAAAUGAAGUGGAAAAAGGAGUCACGGAUUAUAAUCUAAGACGUUCCUCACUCAAUUCGCAUGCCUAAAUUUUUCCUAUGUGUCAGUAAGUGUCGCUGCGUUGCUUGAGAGGAGUACCAUGUUCUCUUAGGAUUUAUCUUCGUGCAAAAAGGGGUGGAGGGAUGUGUGGAGGUUUAAAUUUACAAGUUUUGCACAAUGGCUGUGGUUAGUAAGCACCAGCAACGGGUUAUCGGGGUGGCAUUGGUGGGUGGAAGUGCCUUCAUGAGCAGUAGGGUUUUACAUCUAUUUGCCCUUAUAGACUAAGGUUGAUACUUCAUGAAAAGCAUUUUGCGUUUAUGAGUUGUCUUAUCAGAAUUUCGAUUUCAAUAUGAGCUGAUCAUUAACUCAAUUUUUGAUGCGGAAAAUCUCUCUCUCUCGCUCUCUCGUUCACGAUGCCAUGCGCUGAGAGAGAGAGAGAGAGAGAGAGAGAGAGAGACUUUUCGAUUACUUUUCCCGCGGAGUACUCUUUACUUUUGGACUGUAUGCCAUAAUGACUUUAGAAGAACUUUGCAGUAGUAGUGAUUGUUAUAGAGUGGUUAAUACAUACGCAAAUUAUUGAUGUACGCUUCAAUGUUGAAAAGGACUAACACAUUGCUUACAUUUAAAAGUUGAGUUUAUGCGGGCAAUUUUUUUAUCAUGCCAUUUGGUUAAUUUAUCCGGGUAGUAGUGGACUCUCUGUUUGCAAAGUGGUUACAAGAGAUUUUGCGAGUAUGUGUGCCUGCACUUAUGUCCAAGAAUUCUUUCUUAAUUAUCGUGCAGACUUGCCUUCUCAUGAGCCGAACCCUUUUGACAGGUUUUGCUUACUGCGUACUUCGGCGAGUUCUGUUCGUCAAAUCGUGUGUAUUAUGUGGCAUCUAUUCUGAGCGGCCUUUCAAAUGUAGACCAAGUAUAUGUUGCACUUUGUGGAUAGAUGGUACUUUUUGCAUGGGAUUACAGGUUGAAUUGUUUUAAUCUUUAGGAUUUCUUAUAAUUUUUUUCGAAAAUCCAUUUAUCGUGAUUCCAAAUUUAAUUUUCUGUAUCUGUUUGUUCUUUUGGUUAUUGGUUUUCAUGUCCAAAAUCUAGACCAUGCAUUCUCAGUAUUUUGGUGUCUUACAUUCUGCUGCAGCGUAUUACUGAAGACGUUCAAAAGUUCUCCUUUUGCAAUAAGCGAGCUUUUCUUUUACAUUGUCAAGCCUGUAUUAGAUAUUAUUCUCUAUCAACUAUCUCUUGCUAAAACCAUAGAGUAAGCUUCAUAUUUUAUUUCAACUGUUUUCUUUGAAGUACAGUUGCCACGUCAGAUAUUUUUUCUUCAGAGCUACAACUUCUUCCGCCACAUCUCUGGAUCACCAGCAGUGUACUAGUUUCUUCCUCGUGGUGUUCUUUCAAGAAAAAUUGAAAUAUGUUGCUCUUCUCCUCACAUAUCGCUUCAGAGUGAUAUUUAACAGCAGUGGUAGCAUCUAAUUAUUGUCAUGAACGAGGGUACCAAGAACAGUUCGCUUUGUAUGCUUACUUUCUUCUCAUAUCAGCAUUCUUACACGUUAUUAGCCCUCGACUGGCACAUUGGCAAGUCUUCAAUAUUCAGUGUCCUUGCGGAACUUUGGCCUCUACACUGUGGUGUCAUCGGUCGAUCACCUCCGGGAGAAAUUUGUUACCAAUCUCGGGUCAUUUUAUUUUUCUUGUUUACUUUGUUUGCCUUUAUUUGGAAAGGAAACUAUUCAAUAAAAUGAAAAUUUUAAAAACAACAGCAGAAGAUGAUGAAGAGGCUACGAGGGUCUAUAUAGCAUCUGCUCUGUCUUUAACAAGUAUAGCUCUACUAGUUUUCAAUUACAGAAGAGCUCCUCAUCUCUAACGGGGAUGUUAUGUGCUUCAAGAUUUGAGCUGAUGGAUUGUGAUCUUUGAAGAAACCUUACCUUAUGCGAGGAACACUGAGAGACUAAGUGCUGUAUCCAACGCCACUUAAACCUGUUUCAAGAGAUAAGAAUGAAAGUAAAUGGUAUAGCUCUGCAUCGCUGCAAUCUAUCAAGUAUACGACGCAUCCUGAUGACAAUCGAGUGUUGUAUGCAUUGGGUGCAACAGAGAUUGGAUAUCUGGUUUAUUUGAGGGUUGGCCUUGCCCACUUGCAGGGGCCUAAGUCCUCUUUCUAUUGAUAAUUGUUUUGCUGGAGCUUGCUUUUUCUUUUUUCUUUUUUCUGGCAGGAGAAUAGUAAAUCGGAGGGUUGAAUCAGGUAUCAUACAGGACUUUAUCGUUGAAAAGAGAAGAUUAUUUAUCUUUAUUUUCUCCUUGUUUCGGUAAAUCUGAGAAUGAGGUUUGAAAGUUGCAACUCAGAAUUGGGAAGAAACUUUGUCUGAUGGCGAAAAGCAGCGUCUAGCAAUUGCUCGAGUAUCCUACCGAGGAGUCCACCAAAUUUGAUGUAAACUCUCAAGGAUUCGGUACUGUUUGGUAAUGUAUGCUUUGAUUUUGAAUUAUGAUUGUUCAUUCCUGCUGCAUCUGCUUUCUCAGUGUUGAAAUUCAUAGUUGAUUCUGUGAUAGCUAUGCUGUGCUUGAUGAAUACAGAUCAGCAGUUAGUACGGACAGAGAAGAAAACCUAUACAAAAGACUGCGUGAGAGUGUUAUCAAGUUGAUAUCAACAACCCAUCGCCCUGUAGUUAAGAAGUAGGCCUUCCUCUAAUCAUUCCCACAACUAGCAUGUUUGCUCUAUUAAGCUUCCGUGAUUUGCAGACGUGGAUAUUAUUACGUUCCUAUCCACACAUAACUAAUUGAUCAUGUGUAAUUCUGAACAGAUCAGGGGGUCGAAAGUCACGUCUUGAUUGUUAUUGUCAGUAUUUUCCGCUAGGACUACUAACAGUGCAUGCAAACAACGUCGGUUGGUUACCAACUAUUGUUUCUUGUCUCAUAGGACUUCCGAUGACAGGAUCAUUUUAUGGAUUUCCUAUUUUUUCUGAUUUUUAUAUCUUUAAUGGCUACAGGAAACAUAAUAAAUUGCAGAUCUCGUAAGCCCAGCAGAAUCCUUGUUAGAUUUGGUAGCCCUUAGAAGGUGGUUCUCCCUAAACAUUUAUGAUAGGUUCUCAUUAUUUUAUAAUACCCCUACAGCAGAUCCACACAAACUUUCAAACGCUUUAAGUUGAUUGUACAAUCUUUCUGUUAGCAAUGCUUGGUUUCAUUGCAGUGUCAAAGGACUGAUUCCCCAUUCUGUAGACGAGAUCGGGGGAGGGAGGGGGUGUGAAGGUGCGAGCAAGUGGGCAGGAGGUUCGUCGUUCAGACACAGUGUACUCCGGGGUAGGCACCCCGUUGUUCAUGGGAGCGGACUUGAUCUUCGGGCGCCGCAAAAUGGCAGCGCAGAUUCGAGAGUGUAGGGCACCGGCGGUCUAGUGGUAGAAUAGUACCCUGUCACUGUACAGACCCAGGUUCGAUUGCCGGCCGGUGCAGCGAGCCGCUUCGGCUGGAAUAGCUCAGUUGGUUAGAGCGUGUGGCUGUUAACCACAAGGUCGGAGGUUCGACCCCUCCUUCUAGCGCAACAAUAGAACUGCUCCGCUUUU